ensembl:lncRNA
GUAGAAACCAGGGCGUCCAAGAAAGAGAAUUCUCAAGUUCACGAACCACAGCUAAUUGAAUCCAACAUGGCCCUCAGGCUGGCGGCUGUCUGAGCAGAGAUCUCUUCACAGGCGUCAAGCUACUUGCUGUGAACGUUCUGUCAGGACUCCAAGCUAAGACCAUAGGUCACCUGUGAGGAGGGCAUCAUCAGAGCUUUCCCUCCACCUGGGACACAUCACUGCACAGGCUCGGGGUCUCAACAGCGUGACGUGUCUACUUAGGACAUUGAGUUCCAUUUCCUUGCUUGGCAGGAAAUGUGGCUGGGACUUCCCUGGUGGCACAGUGGAUAAGAAUUUGCCUGCCAACGCAGGGGACACGAGUUUGAUCCCUGGCCUGGGAAGAUCUCGUAUGCUGCUAAGCUCCCGCACCACAAUACUGAGCCUGAGCUCGAGUCCACGAGUCGCAACUGCUGAGCUCAUGAGCUGCAGCUACUGAAGCCCACAUGCCCUGGAGCCCACGCUUUGCAAUAAGAGAAGCCACCGCAAUGAGAAGUUCGAGCACCAAAGCUAGAGAGUAGCCCCC